GACGAACGCUGGCGGCGUGCUUAACACAUGCAAGUCGAACGGAAAGGCCCUGCUGUUGUGGGGUGCUCGAGUGGCGAACGGGUGAGUAACACGUGAGUAACCUGCCCUGGACUGGGGGAUAACUUCAGGAAACAGGGGCUAAUACCGGAUAGGAGCUGCGCCGGCAUGGUGGGGGUUGGAAGGAUUCGGCGGUGGGGGAUGGACUCGCGGCUUAUCAGCUUGUUGGUGGGGUGGUGGCUUACCAAGGCGUUGACGGGUAGCCGGCCUGUGAGGGUGACCGGCCACAUUGGGACUGAGAUACGGCCCAGACUCCUACGGGAGGCAGCAGUGGGGAAUAUUGCACAAUGGGCGGAAGCCUGAUGCAGCAACGCCGCGUGCGGGAUGACGGCCUUCGGGUUGUAAACCGCUUUCGCCUGUGACGAAGCGUGAGUGACGGUACUGGGUAAAGAAGCACCGGCUAACUACGUG
rnacentral:rRNA from 1 species